ACCUUCCCGUUACUUCGGGAUAACCUUCCGAAAGGCCAGCUUAUACCGCAUGUUCCUUCGAUGACGGCAUCAGAUUCGAAGCAAGACUCGUCGGUAACGGAGGGGGAUGCGUCUGAUUAGCUUGUUGGCGGGGCGACGGCCCACCCAAGGCUACGAUCAGUAGGGGUUCUGAGAGGAAGGUCCCCCACAUUGGAACUGAGACACGGUCCAAACUCCUACGGGAGGCAGCAGUGAGGAAUAUUGGUCAAUGGGCGUAAGCCUGAACCAGCCAAGUAGCGUGCAGGAGGACGGCCCUAUGGGUUGUAAACUGCUUUUAUGCGGGGAUAAAGUGAGGGACGUGUCCCUUUUUGCAGGUACCGCAUGAUAAGACCGCUACA
rnacentral:rRNA from 1 species